rnacentral:lncRNA from 1 species
CGGAUGCAGGUUGUCUGUUGUCGAGAGCGCGGAGAGAGGGAGGACACAGACCCGGUCUCUUAGCCCAUCUGUUGGGGAAGCAGCCGAGACAGGGGACUUCUGACGAGCAGCGUACUGCCGCUUUUGCUGUUCGUGACUCUCUUGGGAGAGCGAGGGAGAAACAUACGGUGCUUCUCUUGAGGAACUCUCUCUUUUCCUAGCGACCACGACGCUCUCCCCAGCAUGCGACAGCGAAACGGAAACCCCGCUGUCUUGCCCUUUCGACAAAGUGACGCUAGGUGGCUUUCCCCGGAGAGAAACGUCUCGACCUGUCAUCACCACGUCUUCUCCAUCAGGAGCUUUUUCACAAGAGAAGACUGCGUUUGAACUCGAUAAAACUCGCCUGUUCGCAAUUUCCUUUGUGACAAUCAACCUUUUCUCCAUCGCUUCUGUUCGGCUCGAGACGCCAGCCAUGUGACUAUCCUGAGGGCCGCGUGCGGAGGUUGUCUCUUCGCACCCCUUUGUUUUCAAGCGCGCAGACUUGGCUGAAGGCAAAGGUUCUGGGGAGCUUUCCACCACGUCCUGGAGAAUGGUUCGUUUCUCAGAUUCCUGUCCUCGUGUCUCUCUUUUUGGCAGGCCCCCAAAACCUCUAUGUGUCUGGUCGUCAUUCGGCAGACUCCAUGCCCUGUAAUCUGCGCCUCUCCGGGUGCCUAGAGUGAGGUUCCUCAGUUCUUCGUCUUCUGCUGGACAGACGGCCGCUGAGAGAAAAGGACUUCGGGGUGUCGCAGUCAUCUUGUUUGGGCUCAACCGACUGCCAGGAUGCUGCGAGUCCCCACAACGCGACGGAGGCGAAUCGUCGGCUCGACGACCUCCUGGAAGGCCGCGGGGAACUUGGCAUUCUUGAGGGAAACCGGCCCGGAGGCGCGGUUGUGUCCUGCGACAGGUGUCUAGUUUCUUUUCGUCACCACCAUCUGACUUUUCCACGCUUGUUUUGUCGCCACCAUGCAGGCUACGGACCACACACGCGUCGUCGAUGCAGAGGCGUUUUUGAGGGUUCUGAGCUUCUGAUUUCUUUCUUUCCCCGCUGCGAGAAGCCUGAUGAGAGUCGCGAGACUCGCAUUUGUCUCUUGAUCGGUGGGGCCCUGGUUCUUCGUGGUCGGUUCCUGCGGACUCGUCUCUCCCUGUACUUGCUGGUGAAGCGGACUUUCUCCUCCGGGAUUUCACAUCUCUUUCCAGAGAAGGCCUCCGUCUCGUGGACGAAUGUUUCCUUCUUCUACUGUCUUUCUGGUUUGUGGAGCUCGCCUCUCGAGUGCGUCGAGGCUCGUUGUCGUGAAAGCCAGAGUCUCCAGCAAGGGCGAUCCAGCCUGUUUCGCUUCUACCCCUCGCUAUGCCAGAACUACUUUGCAGCAAACUGGUCGGAGCUCGACCCCUCAACUCAUCGGCGGUGGUGCUCCUCCGAUCGAGGUCGCGGCAGCGCGUCGCCUUCUGACUCGGGGAGAGACGGGUGCGCGCAAUCUGGAGAUCACCGUUUUCGCAGCCAGCCGAGCGGCACUUGCGGAAAUGAUUAUGGGCCUCAUCAAGCGCUUUGAAGAGUCCCUGCCGGAUGCUUGUAAGGUCGUCGACGCGAAAUACUUUGCCUCCAAUUGCUAGUUUUGCCUCUAGGUUUACGGGUUUGCUGAGGAGCGAAGAACUUGAUUGAAUAGUCGAGGACACAGGCCCCCGCGUCCUUCUCUCCUCUGUGGCGCCCGUGCGCUUGACGUUUUUCCUC